GUGAGCCUCGAUAAUGUCAGCAUAAGGCCUGCAUGGAUGGGGGGCAGUCAGCAACUAAGUGUAAUUUGCAGGUGAUCAUAGAACUCAUGGAGUGUUUACCACAAGAAAAGGGUCAGAAGAAAGCCUUCUUCAGCCAUAUACAGAAGAUUGAAACUGGACCCCUUUAUUUCAUCAUGUACAAAAACUAACCAAAGAUGGACUAAUGACUUAAAUGUAAGACCUAAAACAAUAAUGAAAACCCUAGAAGAAAACCUAGGAAAUACCACUUUGGACAUUGGCCUUGGCAAAGAAUUUAUGACUAAGUCCCUAAAAGCAACUGCAACAAAAACAAAAAUUGACAAGUGGGACCCAAUUAGACUAAAGAACUUCUGCACAGCAGAAAAAAUACUAUCAACAGAGUAAAGAGACAUCCUACAUCAUGGGGGAAAAUAUUUGCAAACUAUGCAUCUGACACAAGUCUAAUAUCCAAAAUCCAUAAGAAAUUUAAACAAAUCAGCAAGCCAAAAAUGAAUAACUCCAUAAAAAAUGGGCAAAGGACAUGAACAGACACUUGACAAAAGAAGACAUACACGUGUCCAACAAACAUGAAAAAGUACUCACCAUCACUAAUCAUUAGAGAAAUGCAAAUUAAAACCACAGUGAGAUAUCAUCUCACACUUGUCAGAAUGGCUAUUAUUAAAAAGUCAAAAACAACAGAUGCUGGCAAAGUUGCAGAGAAGGGGAAUGCUUAUGUACAUUCCCACUAUUGGUGGGAAUGUAAGUUAGUUCAGCCACUGUGUAAAGCAGUGUGGAGAUUUCUCAAAGAACUUAAAACAGAAAUACCAUUCAACCCAGCAAUCCCACUAUUGGAUAUAUACUCAAAGGAAAAUUAAUUGUUCUACCAAAAAGACACAGGCACUGGUAUUUUCAUUGCAGCACUAUUAACAAUAGCAAAGACAUGGAAUCAACCAAGAUGCCCAUCAACAGUGGACUAAAGAAAGAAAGUGUGGUACAUAUACACUAUGGAAUACUAUGUAGUCAUAAAGAAGAAUGAAAUCAUGUCCCUUGCAGCAACAUGGAUGCAGCUGGAGUUCAUCAUACUAAGCAAAUUAGCUCAGGAGCAGAAAACCAAAUAUCCCAUAUUCUCACUAAACACUGAAUACACAUGGACACAAAGAUGGGAACAGUAGACACUGGGGACUGCUUCAGUCGGGAGGAUGGGAAAGACGUAUGGGUUAGAAGGCUACCUAUCAGGUAUUAUGCUCACUACCUUGCUGAUAGGUUUAUUUGUAUACCAAGCCUCAGCAACAUGCAAUUUACCUAUGAAACAAACCUGCACGUGUACCCCCUGAACCCAAAAUACAGGUGGCAAAAAAAAGAAAGCCUCAUUCUUUGCUGUUGUUUUCUAUUUAGUCAGAAAAACAAGCCCUUCCCAGAAACUUCUACCUACAUCUUGUUGACUAGAACUGUGUCACAGGACC
rnacentral:lncRNA from 10 species